ensembl:lncRNA
CCUGACUCCCUUUCUGAGUACGGAGCCUGCUGCAACAGUGAGCCAGAGCCUGUUGCACCAGGGUUUAACCUUGGCCUGCUCCCUGCUUUCAGGAAGGGAAGGCCCUGGAAGGCCUUGAACCCUGCCACCUCCGCCCCUCCUGGGAUAAGGUUCCAACACCCCACGGAUGGGCCCAGGGCCCCCCUGCAACUUCUCCACCGCCGCCCACCGGUGCAACGUGGGUGGCCUACCGGCUGCAGUGAUCAUCAUCCCAACCCUGCUCUCCUCGUCCUCUCUCCUGAUCAUCAGCUUCAUCUUAUGGAAAACUUGCCGCCGGUUGUCCCGGGUCACCCAGCCCCACCUGCCAUCCACAUGAGGGGCCCAGGGAUGCUCCCUGCCUGGUGGGGCCUCCACAGGGAACCUGACCAAGGAGCAGGAAGUCCUCCUCCGGGGACUGAAUGAGAAUGCUCCGAGUUUCACCCCAGCUGUGGCAUGGCUUAGCACGGAAUCUGAAUUGUGGAAUGUGACACCCAGAAAUGGAGCUGAGUUAUAUUAAUGCCUGGGAACCUCUGCUGCUGAGGCCCCUGGAGCUACCCUGCUCCUUUCAAAGACCCAUUCAUCAAUAAUCCUUUUGAUUCUGAAAGUCCUUGCAAUCAAUUCCCCAAACUUUUAAUUUUCAUUUCUUUCAGAAUCAGUUUGUUACUUUUAAAGAAAAAACUUUGAAAUUAACAGUGAAGACAGAUGAAGCUGGUGGGGUACACAGUCAGCAUGGUCCAGUGUAUGUAUAAUAGGACCCACAUAUGUAAUUUUGCAUUUUCUAGUAGCCACAUUUUAAAAAUUGAAGUUAGUGAAAUUAAUAUUAACAAUGUUUCAUUUCACCCAAUAUAGAUAAGUAUUAUAUUUCAGUAUCUAGUCAAAAUGUUUAAAUUGCUAAUGAGAUGUUUUACAUUCUUCUCUUUGAACCAUGUCUUUGAAAUGUGGGGUGUAUUUUACACAUAUAGCAUAUCUCAAAUAAGACUGGCCACACUUUGAGUGCUCCAUAGCCACAUGAGGCUGGUCGCUUGCAUAAUGGAUAGCACAGAUUAAGAUAUUCAAGGUGAUGAAGGAUCUGCUAAGAAGUCCUGGCCUCAUUCUGAAGAGAUUCAUCCCCAGAAGAGAUUCAAAUCUAGAAGUAACAUGAUAAAAUAUAUAUAUAACUUUAGGAAGAUCACUCUGACUUCCACUUAUAGAAUGGACAGGAAAGGAAUUUGAAGCUUGAGUUAGGGAGAUCAGUUAGGAGGAGCUGAAGAGAGAAUGAGAGGUAAAGAUGUUGAUGAUAGACUUUGGUGGCAGCAGCUGAAAUAUUAAGAUGCAGUCCUUCCCAUCACUCCAUCUCACAUAUCUUCCCCUAUUCUCUCUGGCAACCAAAGAGGCAAAUCUAUGAUCUUUAAGGCAUAGUCCCUGGCAGUUAUGCCCACAAAGUGGUCCAC